UUACGGAAGGCAGCAGUGGGGAAUCUUCCGCAAUGGACGAAAGUCUGACGGAGCAACGCCGCGUGUAUGAUGAAGGUCUUCGGAUUGUAAAGUACUGUCUUUGGGGAAGAACGGUACCUAUGAAAAUAUUGUAGGUACAUGACGGUACCCAAGGAGGAAGCCCCGGCUAACUACGUGCCAGCAGCCGCGGUAAUACGUAGGGGGCAAGCGUUGUCCGGAAUUAUUGGGCGUAAAGGGCGCGUAGGCGGAUACUUAAGUCCGGUGUGAAAGAUCAGGGCUCAACCCUGAGAGUGCAUCGGAAACUGGGUAUCUUGAGGACAGGAGAGGAAAGUGGAAUUCCACGUGUAGCGGUGAAAUGCGUAGAUAUGUGGAGGAACACCAGUGGCGAAGGCGACUUUCUGGACUGUCACUGACGCUGAGGCGCGAAAGCGUGGGGAGCAAACAGGAUUAGAUACCCCGGU
rnacentral:rRNA from 1 species